ACCUUAAAGCAAUGGCAAUAUCGUAACCAAUGAAGGCCUCCUGAGGUGUGAUUAUUGCUAGUUGAAAACUUUGAGGAGCUUUAAUUUAUUUUUUCAGAAAAUUGGUACCUAUUAGUGACGUAUGACUAUUGU
rnacentral:snRNA from 1 species